rnacentral:lncRNA from 1 species
UUUUUUUGAGACGGAGUCUUGUUCUGUUGCCCAGGCUGGAGUUCAGUGGUGUGACGUCAGCUUAUUGCAACCUCCGGCUCCCUGGUUCAAGCCAUCACAGGCCUCAGACUCCUGAGUAGCUGGGACUACGGGCACGCACCACCACACCCGGCUAAUUUUUCUUAUUUUUGUAUUUUUAGCAGAGACGAGGUUUUGCCAUAUUGGCUAGGCUCUUCUUGAACUCCAGACCUCAGGUGAUCUGCCCGCCUAGGCCUCCCAAAGUGCUGGGAUUACAGACGUGAGCCACCGCGCCCAGCCUGGAAUUCAACUGGAGUGUACCACAAUCUGUUUAACAAGUCCCAUGUUGUCAGAUAACUAUGUUGCUUCCCAUUUUUUACUCUUACAAACAAUGUCCUUAUAGCUAAAUCUUUACAUACAAACUCCAUGAUGGCUUCUUUACGAUUAAUUCUUAGAAGUGAAAUUGCUGAGUCAAGACUAUUAUUUUGAAGGCUUUUAAUGAGUAUUGCCAAAUUGCCCUUCUUACAUGUGCUAUUUUACAGACCUACUGACCAUAUAUGAGAAUACUCAUUUUGCAAACAGUGGGUUUGCAACAACAAAACAAAUUCCCAAACUCUGUCAACUUGACAAGUUAAUGAGACUUCCUUAUAUUCUACAGUCUGAGGCACACCACAGUGAAAUCUCUCUGGUCAAUUUAGUAUUGUGCCAUGAGAAUAUGUUCUGAGCAGCAGCUCUUGAUGUUUACAUAAACCAUUACUUAAGCCCUCAACACCAUCAAAUAUUUAUUUAACAUCCACUGUGGGUUAAGAAUCGCAACCCAGGGCCCCAAAGCAACUUACAAGCUAAAGGAAGGAGUGGAGGCACAGUUCCUUGUCUUUGCCUUGGGAAUAUUUUUAGUAAGUUGCUUCUUUUCCUUUUCUCUCUAGAGCUUUAUAAAACCAAAUUAUGGGAAAAUUAUCAUGCAAUUUAAAAAAUUAAACAUUUUACAUUGUAGAAUAUAAAAUACUUUCAUAAAAGAACAUAAUACGUAUAUAUUUACAUUAAAGAAGAAAACAUUAAUGGUCAGGCGUGGUGGCUCACGCCUGUAAUCCCAGCACUUUGGGAAGCUGAUAAUCCCUGCCACUCGGGAGGCUGAGGGAGAAUAAUCGCUUGAACCCAGGAUGCAGAGGUUGCAGUGAGCUAAGAUCGCGCCAUUGCACUCCAGCCUGGGUGACAGUGCAAGACACCAUCUCAAAAAAAAAAAAAAAAAAGAAAAAAGAAAAAAAAAAGGCUUAAAAAAAUUGGACUUCUAUGGGACCACCAUC